rnacentral:lncRNA from 1 species
GUUAGCCACCAAGUGGGUGCUGGGACUCGAGCCCGAGUUCUCCGAAAGAACGAUCAAGAUGUAGGACUCUCAGCUACCUCUCCAGCACCAUGUCUGCCUGCGUGCUGCCAUGUCCUUCCAUGAUGAAAAUGGACUGCACCUCAGAACUUCUAUUAAGUUUUAGGAACUACGUAACUUCUGAAAAGACCAGCUCCUUGGUAAUGUUUUCACAAACUUGGAGCCUGCCUCUGCUGAAGAUCACUGGGCCUGCGCCUGCACCUCCAAUUAACAGAAGGGUUCAAGUCUAUCAUCCCUGCUUCCAUGUUGUGUCUGCCUACUUUACUUUGGGUCAAACUUGGCUUAACCCUGUGUUCGACACAUUGAUCAACAGAGCAUCUGCUUAAUAAUCAAAGGUACUUAACCCAACCAUCUCAUCCUCCUGGCUAUAGGCACACUAAGUAACAAGGCAUUGUCAAGUUUUACAAUGUCCUAUAAAUGUCCCAAAACUGUGCCUGAAAACCUCGAAUCAUUGUCCCUCAGUUAGGCUGGAUCCUGAGUGACAGAACCUUACAGACAAAUCACCCCAUGGUGACAGUGUAGCAAUGUCCUGCAGGAAGCAAACAACGAAGAAGCCUAGGAAGUCCCUGAGACUGAACAGGAUCACAAGGCUUCUCCCUCCUUAAGGUCAUACAAGCAGAAAUGACUCCUGGGGAGACUGCCCAAACCGUCCAGCGUUGACAAGUCAUGCAGAGACUUGAAGUCUGCAAGUCUGUAAGUCAUCACCAUCUAGGAUAGACUCCAGUGACACAGCUAAGUCUUUGAGUCACCGUGCUCCUGCACGUCCUCAAUAAACACACUGGUUCUGCAAAGCUGGACUUGGGAGGAAUCGUUGCUGUGAUCCGUUGUCAAUUUCCUUUCUGAGGUCAGUAGACAGAUAGCUGUUCAUGUCUCCCCAGGAAUAGCGUCACACAUAACCCCAAGCAGAAAUAAUCACUUCACGACAAUUGGUUUGUCCCCUCGAGUGACCAGGUCUUCUUUGAAACACUUUGCAGAAGCAGAAGACAAUGACCGCCAGCCCAUAGUUUAACCAAGAGUGCUUGCUUACGCACUCUAAUAGCCACGCCCCCCAAUUCUCCCUGCUAAAACCUAAAAAUAAUAAUGUUAGUACUCUCAAGAAGAUCUGAGAUGCUUACUCCAAAUGGACAUUUUAAUUGAAAGAAAAAAACAAACAAACAAACAAAAACCACCUUCACUGCUUAUGCUAUUUGGUUUAUGGUAACCUGACACAGCUGAAGGAACAUCAAGUAAGACCUGCCCUCGCCCAAUUCCCCUGGAGGGGACAUUUUCUUGGUUGAUGAUUGAUAUGGGAGGGCCCAGCUCACCGUGGGCAGAGCCACUCUUGGGCUGGAGGUCCUGUGUGC